rnacentral:rRNA from 1 species
GGGGGGCCUACAAAUGCAAGUUCGACGCUGUAGCAUACAGAGUGGCAGACGGGUGAGUAACGCGUGGAAACCUUCCCAAUGGUGCGGAAUAGCCCAGGGAAACUUGGGGUAAUACCGCAUAAGCCCUUAGGGGGAAAGAUUUAUCGCCAUUGGAUGGGCCCGCGUCGGAUUAGCUAGUUGGUGGGGUAAUGGCUCACCAAGGCAACGAUCCGUAGCUGGUUUGAGAGAAUGACCAGCCACACUGGGACUGAGACACGGCCCAGACUCCUACGGGAGGCAGCAGUGGGGAAUCUUGGACAAUGGGCGCAAGCCUGAUCCAGCCAUGCCGCGUGAGUGACGAAGGCCUUAGGGUUGUAAAGCUCUUUUGCCGGGGACGAUAAUGACGGUACCCGGAGAAUAAGUCCCGGCUAACUUCGUGCC